CCUACGGGAGGCAGCAGUCGGGAAUAUUGGGCAAUGGAGGAAACUCUGACCCAGCAAUACCGCGUGAAGGAUGAAGGUUUUCGGAUUGUAAACUUCUGUUAUAAAGGAAGAAAAAAAUGACGGUACUUUAUAAGUAAGCCCCGGCAAACUAUGUGCCAGCAGCCGCGGUGAUACAUAGGGGGCAAGCGUUGUCCGGAAUGACUGGGUGUAAAGGGUGUGUAGGUGGCUUAUUAAGUUAGAGGUGAAAGCCCGAAGCUCAACUUCGGAACUGCCUUUAAAACUGGUUGGCUUGAGUGUGGGAGAGGUUAGUGGAACUCCUAGUGUAGCGGUGGAAUGCGUAGAUAUUAGGAAGAACAUCAGAGGCGAAGGCGACUAACUGGAACAUUACUGACACUGAAACACGAAAGCGUGGGGAGCAAACAGGAUUAGAUACCCUUGUAGUC
rnacentral:rRNA from 1 species